GCGCCUAUAGCUCAGGUGGAUAGAGCACAGGAUUCCUAAUCCUGGGGUCCCAGGUUCGAGUCCUGGUAGGCGCG
rnacentral:tRNA from 1 species